GGUCAGCUCCUCUGCUUCUCUUUCCGUACUUUUCUUCCUUUCUUCUUCAGCUCCAAUAACCCUAAAAUCUAAAAGCCUCCACCGCUGGCAUUUGAGAUUCACCGAUCGUCGCUUAAUCAAGGUUGCCGUUAGUCACUUGUCCUUCAAUCUCUAGCCUCCACUGCCGCAACACCACCAGUUUCUUCAGAUUUCAAGGUUCAAUCAAGUAAUUAACACGCUGGUGAACCGAAGCUAAAUCUGCUUGAUGAUGAGGAUGAUCUUGAUGACAUCGAUAUCGAAAGUUAUGAAAUUGGAGAAAAGGGUGAUGAAGAUGAAGAUGAAGAUGAAGAUGAAGAUGAAGAUGAAGAAUGGCUUAGAUAGUUCUUUGGUUUAGAAAUUGAACGUGUUAUUUUAUUUAUUUUAUUUAGAUUGAUAUUUAUCAAGCAUUUGAACAUGAGCUUGUUACCUUAUUUGGAUUGCUAUUUGUCAGGGAUUAAACAUGUAUGGGAUCUCUAUUUUAUAAAUUUUGUGAGUUUGGAUGAAUUUGGUGAAUUGGAUAUAAAUUUAGAUGAUUGGGUUCUUUGGU